rnacentral:misc_RNA from 1 species
UCCGAGUUGACCCCGGCAGUCUCCUAUGAGUCCCCGACAUUACUCGCUGGCAACAUAGGACGAGGGUUGCGCUCGUUGCGGAACUUAACCCAACAUCUCACGACACGAGCUGACGACAGCCAUGCAGCACCUGUGCAUCCUUCCCUUGCGGGAUCGUCCCACUUUCAUGGUUCUACUAAAUGCAUGUCAAGGCCAGGUAAGGUUCUUCGCGUUGCAUCGAAUUAAGCCACAUACUCCACCGCUUGUGCAGGCCCCCGUCAAUUCCUUUGAGUUUUAGCCUUGCGGCCGUACUCCCCAGGCGGGGCGCUUAAUGCGUUAGCUGCGGCACGGAGAACGUGGAAGGUUCCCCACACCUAGCGCCCAACGUUUACGGCGUGGACUAC